UCCGCUUAAUCUCCGUCUAUGGAGAGCGGGGGAACCAGACAACCGGAAGCCGAUCGUGAGAGGCGGAACCGGUUAUGGGGUGAAUCCUGGGAAACUGCGAGAGCUGAAAAAGUCUCGUAUGGUUAACAGGUAGGGCGACUCUCAACGCCCGAAUCCGGCAGCUAACCUCGUAAGCGUAGUGUAGAGAGGA
rnacentral:sRNA from 1 species